rnacentral:rRNA from 1 species
GCGCAGCAGUCACGAAACUUUACAAUGUGCGAAAGCACGAUAAGGGAACUCUGAGUGCCUCCUAAGGAGGCUGUUCAGGUGUCUAAAAGCACCUGAAGGAAGGGCUGGGUAAGACCGGUGCCAGCCGCCGCGGUAACACCGGCAGCCCAAGUGGUAGCCACGUUUAUUGGGUCUAAAGCGUCCGUAGCCGGCUGGGUAAGUUCCUUGGGAAAUUUGGCUGCUUAACAGUCAAGCUUUCAGGGAAUACUGCCCGGCUUGGGGACCGGGAGAGGUCAGAGGUACUCCAGGGGUAGGGGUGAAAUCCAUUAAUCCUUGGGGGACCACCGGUAGCGAAGGCGUCUGACCAGACCGGGUCCGACGGUGAGGGACGAAGGCUAGGGGCGCGAACCGGAUUAGAUACCCCUGUAGU